rnacentral:rRNA from 1 species
GACGAACGCUGGCGGCGUGCUUAACACAUGUAAGUCGAACGGAAAGGCCCUGCUUUUGUGGGGUGCUCGAGUGGCGAACGGGUGAGUAACACGUGAGUAACCUGCCCUUGACUUUGGGAUAACUUCAGGAAACUGGGGCUAAUACCGGAUAGGAGCUCCUGCUGCAUGGUGGGGGUUGGAAAGUUUCGGCGGUUGGGGAUGGACUCGCGGCUUAUCAGCUUGUUGGUGGGGUAGUGGCUUACCAAGGCUUUGACGGGUAGCCGGCCUGAGAGGGUGACCGGCCACAUUGGGACUGAGAUACGGCCCAGACUCCUACGGGAGGCAACAGUGGGGAAUAUUGCACAAUGGGCGGAAGCCUGAUGCAGCAACGCCGCGUGCGGGAUGACGGCCUUCGGGUUGUAAACCGCUUUCGCCUGUGACGAAGCGUGAGUGACGGUAAUGGGUAAAGAAGCACCGGCUAACUACGUG